rnacentral:snoRNA from 1 species
GAGACUAUACUUUCAGAGAUCAUUUCUAUAGUAUCCAACUAGAUAAAUGCACUUAAACACUGGAGGCUUUCAAGAAGAGAUUGGACUGCCAUCUGUCAGAAAUGGUGCAGAGUCUUCUGCUUGGGCAGAGGUUGGACUAGAUGACCUUCCAACUCUGUUAAUCUAAAGAAUGAGGGAGGGUUUGAGGGAAGUCCUGCCUUA